UGAUUUUCGUCAUAGUAGUCAUAGCGUAGUAAGGAUUCACUAUGGAGGUCCCUUACAAGUUAGAAGUGAUUGCUUUGACUACAAUCAUCAUUAAACUGGGUGUCUCAGUUUUCCCAUAUUCUGGCAAAAAUCAACCUCCAAAAUUUGGAGAUUAUGAAGCUCAAAGACAUUGGAUGGAAAUUACGGUUAACUUACCCAUACAGGAUUGGUAUAGAAAUACAACAGACAAUGAUUUAUUGUACUGGGGACUGGAUUACCCUCCUCUCACAGCAUAUCAAAGCUACCUAACUGGAUCGGUGGCUAAGAAAAUCAACCAAGACUAUGUAAAACUCCAUGUGUCUCAGGGAUUUGAAAACUUUGACCACCAAUAUUUCAUGAGGAUGUCCGUCCUUGUGUCUGAUUGUAUUUUCUUUGUCAGUGCACUUUAUUUUUACAUUAGAAGCUUGAAGAUGAGUAAUAAGUACAAAUGGGUUUUCUUUGCUUUGUCCUCACACUCUGGACUCACCCUUAUAGAUUAUGGUCAUUUUCAGUACAAUUGUGUUUCGUUGGGGUUGACCUUGUGGGCAAUCAUUUUUGUUUCUCAGGGAAAGAAUGUGUUAGCAGCAAUUGCCUUUUCAGCUGCCUUAAACUUUAAGCAGAUGGAGUUGUAUCAUGCAAUACUUCUAUUUGCUGGCUUCUAUUUGCUGGCUUCCUGUCAACCUAAAGGUUCCUCACUUCCCUCCCAACUAAAGAAUUUGGUCCAGAUUGGCGCUGCCACAGUGGCGACCUUUGCAAUCAUUUGGUAUCCAUUUCUUCAAAUUCAUGAUUGGCUUUUACAGCAAGUCAUCGUCAGACUCUUUAUUCCUUUUCAGCGUGGAAUCUUUGAAGACUAUGUCGCCAAUUUUUGGUGCACGCUAAAUGUUGUGAUCAAAAUCAAACGACUAUUAAACCCAACCUCAAUCACCUCGGGAACUAUCACCUAGGCCAUGCCCGUGCCUGAAAGAAAAAGUCAGGACGUUGAUUCGAACGGAUUCGAAUGCAACGAGCACUAAGUACGGUCACAUUAUUGGAGGAAUGACCGUGUGCUUGGUUCGUGAUUUGGAGUCACAAGUGAUAGCUGCAAGCUGAUAUCACUCGAACCACUGCACCAACCCGACUAAGCAUGAUCGAAAAAAGCUGCAGCUCAUUAUGGCGUCAGUUUAGCUUUAAUGCUAAAUUUCGCAAACACGGUGAACUAGAUUGACAAUAAUAAAAAAUGAACUUUAUUCGUCA
rnacentral:misc_RNA from 1 species